GGCCGUGAAUUAAGGAAGUGCAAGUGACGAGAUCAUGAUGAAUACCUUUGCGAGUCAUUUCUGAAAACAUAUCCAAAGCCUCCCAUACCUUGCCAUCCUUGCAAAGGCCGUCAAUAACUGUAUUC
rnacentral:miRNA from 1 species